UGAACCUCAGAAGGAAAUAAACAGGCUCAUGA
rnacentral:piRNA from 1 species